UUCCGGUUGAUCCCGCCGGACCUGACUGCUAUCGGAACGGGACUAAGCCAUGCGAGUUUGCCAACCAGAGCAUGUUGGUUGGUGGCGAACGGCUCAGUAACACGUAGUCAACCUGCCCUCUGGCCGAGAACAAUCUCGGGAAACUGAGGCUAAUGCUCGAUAGAUCAAGAUUCCUGGAACGGGUUUUGGUCCAAAUGGGGUAACAGCAUCUUGUUACAAUUCCGCCAGAGGAUGGGACUGCGGCCGAUCAGGCUGUUGGUGGGGUAAAGGCCCACCAAACCAGUAACCGGUACGGGCUUUGAGAGAAGGAGCCCGGAGAUGGACACUGAGACAAGGGUCCAGGUCCUACGGGGCGCAGCAGGCGCGAAACCUUCGCAAUGCGCGAAAGCGCGACGAGGUUAUUCCGAGUGAUCCCCGCUGAGGGGAUCUUUUCUCAGAUCUAAAAAGUCUGGGGAAUAAGGGGAGGGCAAGUCUGGUGUCAGCCGCCGCGGUAAUACCAGCUCCUCGAGUGGUCAGGGCGUUUAUUGGGCCUAAAGCAUCCGUAGCCGGCUCAGAAGGUCUCCUGUUAAAUCCAACGGCUCAACCGUUGGCCUGCAGGAGAUACCGCUGGGCUAGGAGGCGGGAGAGGCGGACGGUACUCCGCGGGUAGGGGUAAAAUCCUUUGAUCCGCGGAAGACCACCAGUGGCGAAGGCGGUCCGCCAGAACGCGCUCGACGGUGAGGGAUGAAAGCUGGGGGAGCGAACCGGAUUAGAUACCCGGGUAGUCCCAGCUGUAAACGAUGCGAGCUAGGUGACACGACGCCUUCGGGGCAUCGUGGUGCCGCAGGGAAGCCGUUAAGCUCGCCGCCUGGGGAGUACGGACGCAAGUCUGAAACUUAAAGGAAUUGGCGGGGGAGCACCACAAGGGGUGAAGCCUGCGGUUCAAUUGGAUUCAACGCCGGAGACCU
rnacentral:rRNA from 1 species